CCUACGGGUGGCAGCAGUGGGGAAUAUUGGGCAAUGGGCGCAAGCCUGACCCAGCAACGCCGCGUGAAGGAAGAAGGCCCUCGGGUUGUAAAAUUCUUUUAUCAGGGACGAAGCAAGUGACGGUACCUGAUGAAUAAGCAACGGCUAACUACGUGCCAGCAGCCGCGGUAAUACGUAGGUGGCACGCGUUAACCGGAUUUACUGGGUGUAAAGGGCGUGUAGGCGGGAAAGCAAGUCAGAUGUGAAAACCAUGGGCUCAACCUGUGGCCUGCAUUUGAAACUGUUUGUCUUGAGUACUGGAGAGGCAGACGGAAUUCCUAGUGUAGCGGUGAAAUGCGUAGAUAUUAGGAGGAACACCAGUGGCGAAGGCGAGCUGCUGGACAGCAACUGACGCUGAGGCGCGAAAGCGUGGGGAGCAAACAGGAUUAGAUACCCGAGUAGUC
rnacentral:rRNA from 1 species